rnacentral:rRNA from 1 species
GAUGAACGCUGGCUACAGGCUUAACACAUGCAAGUCGAGGGGAAACGACGGGGAAGCUUGCUUCCCCGGGCGUCGACCGGCGCACGGGUGAGUAACGCGUAUCCAACCUGCCUCUGACUGAGGGAUAACCCGUCGAAAGUCGGCCUAAUACCUCAUGGUAUCGUCUGCGGGCAUCCAACGACGAUUAAAGAUUUCAUCGGUCAGGGAUGGGGAUGCGUCUGAUUAGCUUGUUGGCGGGGUAACGGCCCACCAAGGCUACGAUCAGUAGGGGUUCUGAGAGGAAGGUCCCCCACAUUGGAACUGAGACACGGUCCAAACUCCUACGGGAGGCAGCAGUGAGGAAUAGUGGUCAAUGGGCGAGAGCCUGAACCAGCCAAGUAGCGUGCAGGAAGACGGCCCUAUGGGUUGUAAACUGCUUUUAUGCGGGGAUAAAGUGAGGGACGUGUCCCUCAUUGCAGGUACCGCAUGAAUAAGGACCGGCUAAUUCCGUG